AAGCACUGGUAUCAACGGUAUUCCAAACAGAGUGAUAGCAAGUCCAAGGCUCCUGAUGAAGAUCUGGUUUAGGGCUAUUUAAGGAACAGAAAGACAAGAAUGGUCAGAAGAAGUCAUAAAAAUCAUUCAUUGGCCAGCCUCUCUGAAGAAUAUUGUGAGAAUGAAUGAAACAAGCUGGGUAAGCCCUUGAAAAAUUUAAAGCAUGCUACAAAAUAAAGUGAAUUAUUAGAACCAGCAUACUAUGAGGAAAAACUACUACCCUCCAUAGUGUAUCUUUAGGAAAGGUUAGAAUUAUAGUUUCUUUCAUCCACAUAUCUCAAAACAUUAUACUUAGAGCUAGAGAGAAUAGUCCAACCUAUUCAUCUUCUAGAUCAGA